AUUAUUUCCAACCCUGUAAUAGUUCUUCCCUACUCUCUGAAAAUAGCAGCUGCACACAGAUUGAGGGAGGGCUAAAUAAACUGCAGACAUAAAUGCAAUGAAACAUUCUUGCGAGUUGAGAAGUGAUGAAUAAAGAAUUCAGAGCAGCAUGGGAAAAUGAGGGGACUGAUGGAGGAUUAGCAGAACCUGCAAAACACACACAACUACAAUAGUGUCCCAUUGCUAUGACCCAGACUGCGCCAGAAAAGCCAGGAGAAGAUGCACUUCCUUCCUUGGUUUGCUGAGACAGUGGACUAGGGUGGGGACCCCGAAGACACCGUUAGAUUCAUCUGGCCCAUUUGGAGGAACGGGGUUUUUCCUUUUUCAUUCUUUGUUAUAAAGCCACGGUUGCUGGGCUGGGAGCAGAGCGAGGCAAUAUUCAGGAAGGGGAUAUAAAAGCAAAGCAUUUUCCCACCAGAUUUUAAAAGUGCUUCCCGACCUGACACAACUGGCUUGUUGCUUUGAUGAUACUUCUGCUGGUUCUGCUUCGUGGGCCAAGAUGGGGCCAAAGACUCUGCCGGGUCCUGGGCACGUGGACAAAAACUUAACGGUGGCCCCUGCCCUUAAGGAAGGCGUGAUGGAACCAAAGUAUUUAGGAUGCACCCGAUCCCUCCCUGAGCUGGAAGGGACCUCGGAGGGCGGUUUACAGAGAAGGAGGCUGAGGUUCUGGAGAUCCAACAAGCUGCCCAAAGUCGGAUAGGGAGCCAGCCAGAGCUGGGACCUACCCUGCAACUCCUUCCAUUGCGCCAUCCUGCCCUGUCCACUUCUGCCCCAGGCUUUUUCUUCCUGGGAAGGAGUGGUCGCCCCGGGAAGGUUCAGAGAUAGUACCAAGAGCUUCGAAAGCAGCGCUUCUAAAACUUUUUCUACUCCUGACCCCAGGUAUGUAGAUAUAUGAAAUGUCAAACAUUGAAAUAAAUCAAUUUCAAGACCCCCACAUUCGGUUAAACGACCCCCUAUGGGGGUCACAGUUGAAGAAGCUGGGAUCUAAAGGACAGCCGGUAUUUUGUGUCCACGGGUCACAGAACAAGGUGGGAAUUUGGACCCGCUCCCCGCUGAAAGGAGGAAAUCAUGUCGCUGUGACAUUGGCAGGGGACAGGAGGAGGCAAAGAACGUAAACCCCAAGCGGAGGGCCAUGAAGUUCGCCUCCAGACAGGCUGCCUGGGAAUUCUCUGUGUCUGCACGCAGUAGCCCUUCAACACCGAGACUCCCCACAGUAUCAGCUAAGGGAGCAAGCAAGCCCUGCAGGGGGAGAACGUGGGGCCCGGAGGAACGUCCCCCCGGCAGCCCGGGUUCCUAUAGUUCUCCAACCCCGCCGCUGGCAGAGCCCCUCUCCUCCUGCGCGGGUCCCUGAUUCCGGAAACCCCCAAGAUCCGCAGGUCUGCCCAGGAACCACUUCCCCAAGCCCUCGCAGGACGCGCAGGCUCCGCUGGCCGUGGGAGAAGAGGUUUAAAAGGAAGAAAGGGCCUUGGAGGGGGCCUCUAUGGCGGGGGGGAGGGGGACUGACCUGGGCGCCCCUUUCUCUCACGCCUCACCUUCUUUAUAAAUAAGGACAGACAGUGCAGGAGGAUACGAUGGAGGGAAACAGGCCGCCACAGACUGGGAAAGCAGAAUCUGACACGGAAGCGCGCUCGGAACAGACACCGGCAAAGUUAAAACGAGGCUCUGAGCGGCUUUAUCAGCUUCAGCUAAAUGCGAACAACGCGGAAGUGGCGAUCAGGCGCUCCGGGCCUGGCGGGGCCCCCAGGACGCAUCUUUGGGGGUUCGAAUCCCGGGCGUGACCCCGGGCAGGUCACGUCACCCUGUUUGCCUCAGUUUCCUCAUCUGUAAAGUGACCUGCAGGAAGACUCCGCAUGGAGUCACGGAGUCAGAGGCGCCUGAGAUGCCUGAACCCCAACCAAGGAGAACCGGAGAAAACCUGCAGGCGGCUGGAGAGGAAGGGGAGAGAAGGGCGGGGCUCACACGUACCUGGGGAGGGCGGGGAACGGCCGGGGCAGGCUGGGAGCAGCUCCGCCUCCCGAGAAUGACAGGGGAGCCAUAGGAGGGUGGAGAACGACGCGACGCACCCAGGGGCCUCCCCCGGGCAUCCUGGGCAGAAGGGGGAGGGGAGAAGCGAUAGAAGGGCGGGGCGGGGCCUGUUCCCUCCCCCCGCGAUAACCAAUAGGAACGCGCGCUGACGAAAGAGGCUGGACUUUACCCCCUUUUGCCUCCUGGGCCCCCAGUUCACUCGGACCCUCACGUGGGUGGGGUUCGAUCCUCCCCUUGAGGAGAGGACGGAGCCAAACCAAGGCGGCUGCGAGCUCUAAUGAGAGAACGUAGGAGGGGGCGGAAGUGACACAACCGAUCCCCGGACCGAGCCGGGGAAGACUCGCUUGGGAAGGCAAAGCCCUCUGGGAAGGGUAGUUCUUGGGCAGGAUAGACACGCGCGCCUGCGCAUUUGCACCUUCACCACCACUGCUUCCUAAUGGGAUGUGGCUCUUAAACUCCCUGUGCUGAAAAGUAGACUCAUUCCCUUGGCCCCCAGACCCCGCCCCAGCGGCCUUUCCUGGGAGCCCCCGGAACCCUCCCUCUGCCCACCCCCUCCCCCGUGGAUUCCACCUGGGCCGCCUCGUGCCCCUGCGUUGGUGCAGUUGCUGCGGGUGCCUCAGCGCAGGGAUGGAGCGGCUGGCCCCGACUAGCUGGGGGACGCUGGUGGCCGAGCCUCCAGCCUCCCGGCCAAGGACGACCCUCCGCGGGCUCGGCCGCACAACAAGGCGGGGCUCUCUCCUGGCGCCACUAGAGUCAUUUUCCUAAGGCCCGUCUCUUCCCCCUCAGUAGACGCCAGUGGCUCCGUAUCAUUUCUCUGGCUGGCGCCGAAACCCAUCGGACCCGCCUUGCCACAAGCCCCUCGGGGUCUCUGCUGCCAGGACCUUCUCCCUGGCACCCUCCAUCCUGGGAAGCUCCGGCGGCUUCCCCCGAAUCCCACCUCAAACGUCUCUCCGGGAAACUUCCCCACGCCCCCAAGCCUAGGACCCUCUCCUGUUCUUCCUAUAAUCCCUGGGUAUGGCUUGCUGUGGAGAAAGGGAGAUUUGGGCCAGAAAGGUGGCCCCGUGGAAGUGCACAGUGCAGGGAGCCAGCCUCCGGGGGGCCCAUUUCGCGGAAGGAGAGGGAGGGAGGGAGGGAGGGGCUGGGGCGUCCGGCGCAGGAUUCUUCCCUGGUCUGGAGGAGCCUGAAUAAAAGAAUGCUGGAUCCUUUAGGGAGGAAGCUCCACUUGACAAAUGGAGGACCGUGGUGGGAGUCCAACCAGGAGACAGAAAGGGGUGUCCCGGAAGGUGCUAUAGAAGUAAGAUUGUCAGGCCUGAAGGGGAAGGGGAGCCAGCAGGCCCAAGCGCGAAGAUGAGGGCCCUGAAUGGCAUCCCCAAAGUGGAGAAAAAAGGACAUCCAGGAUAUGCAGGGCUUAGGGUUAGGGUUAAUGCCUAAGUCCACUGAGGAUGUGCAACAUAGAGAUGAGAAUCAAAUCCAUGGGAACCCGUAGCAACCCAGUCUAGCAGAGAAGAGGUCCAGGACGGAGCCCUGGGAGCCGCCCGGGUUAGCAGGGUAAUCCGGAGGAGGAUCAAGAAAAUGAGACUUGGAAGGAGAAGCAGAGUCGGGAGGGGAACCAGGAGAGAGCAGCGGACAGAUAGAAACGUGGCUGAGUGAGUGUCCAAGGAGGAUGAGAAAAGGCCUCCACAUGUGAGGAUGACGGGUCCUUGGUGGCCGAGUUUGUCCUGUGUUCUCAGAGGACCAAAAGGACGUCGCUAUCUUAGAGUCAAGUUAGAGUGUGUCUGACUAUGGUUGAUCAGACUUAUGGGCUUGGAAUGUUCGAACGUUUCAGGCACCCCACCUUGGGGGUGGCUUCUCUAAAUCCGGACGUUCUGUAAUUCUUUGGAGCAAGUGGGGUUCUGCUCAGUCCCGGCCCAGCCCCUUCUCUGCGAGGGCAGAUCGGGCGGGCAGUCAGUCCUGCGCCAGCCUCUCCCACGUCCCAGGGUUCUCCCAAAUGAAGCCCACAGAGUGUCCUUGAAUUGCUUGCCCGGGUGAGUUCUCCAGCCCAGGGGCUGUGCUCACUGCCGCAGCGUGGGAGUUCUCGGCGGUUUAGCUCACGGACCUCGGGGUCUGGCAGCUUUACCUGCCAGGGGAUCUUCAGACUCUUGCUAAGACAAUUCAAAUGGAAGCGACGGCACAGGUGAACGCUUCAGGCUUCACAAGCGUAGGCCAGUGAGGUCGCCCCGAGGCUCCGGAGCCCUUGGUCGUCAGCCUCAUGCUUCUGCUCUCCUGGACUUUCCCUCGGAGCCCCCCAGACACUGAGCUGGCGACUCGUGCAUCAACCUCCAGCCACGUGCACAUCCCCGGAUCGCAUCCCUAAGUGAACCGAUGCACAGCUCUCGCCCCGUGCUCUCACUGAUGGUUCCCGGACGGCUGGGGUGGCCCUGGCUGACGGAGAACCGUUGUCUUGGUGUUGAUUGUUAGGCCCAAAUUAGCACAAGCGGCAGAGACUCAGUCCGCACUUUGCCGAGUGUGUCUCUGCUUCAGAGGCCGCAGUGGUGACCGACACACGGGGCUUUUCCCAGCUCAUUUCUAAACUUCAGACUUUCAGCGCAGGGUUCUGCUGAGCUCUGGGGUGUUAAGCUGGCCAAACUGGGCCAGAACUGAGAAAGUUCUGGUCCCGAGCCUCUGGGACCGUGCUUGGUCCUCACGACUAGGGCCUCUGCAGCCUCAGACUCCACUUCCCUGUUGGGUUCCUUCUCCCAGGCUGUCCUUUAGGCCUGAAAUGCCCUCCCUCAUUUUCGCCUUUUGCUUUCUCUGGCUUCCUUCAGGUUGCAGAUAAAUUCUACCUUUUACAGGAAAUCUUUGUUAGCUCCCAUUUAUCCUGCCAGGCUUCUUUGUACCUGCUACUGUCUCCUCCCCCAUUAGAAUGCGAUUUCCUCCAGCGAAGGGGCUGGCUUUCACCUUCCAUUUGUAUCCCUGGUGCUUAAGCCAGUAUCUGACACAUAGUUGGCACUGAACAAAUGCUAACUAUAUUUGUUGGUAAAUAAAGGAAGAUGAGAGAGGCAGAAUUCAUAUCUGAAAAUAAAACGGAAUGUUUAAAAAUCGAUCAAGAAAAAACACUGGUGAAUAACUAAGAAAAAAGAGCAUAGAAAAAGUGAAAGGUCCUCUAAGGGGAUGCUGGGGACCUUGGCCACAAGGUGUAGGCUGUGUUGGGAGCAGGAUCUACUUUGUGCAGAUUGGGCGGGUUUCUCCUUAAGGAGAGGGAUGCCAUUCUGAGAAUUAUCAUUGGUUUGGCUUUCUCGAUGCCUGGCUUUAUUUAGCCAAACUGCCCCGGAAGGCUGCCAUUCUGACUCGGAGAUAAACAAUGUUACAUGAAACCCUAUCGAAGUUUUCACUGCAUUUUAUGCGCUGCAAGUUUAUAAUUCCAAGCCUGAAUCAUUGCACUGGUCUAAGCGAGUUAAUUAGGUAAAAAUAGUAAUAAGGGGAGGAAAUUGCUUUCCUUUCGCUUUGAAUUAAGGAAAUCUUCCCUAAAAAUUGCUACUGAGAAAUGGAACCGAACGACUAUGGACAGGAGGCUCUCAAGCAAAAGCUGGAUGACUACUUGUUGAAGAUGACAGAGAAUCUUGUGCAGGCUCUAAACUUCUCGAGGACAGGAGCUGCCUUUUGCCUCCCAGCCCGGGGCCUGGCUCGGACGACUGCACGCUCCAGGAGGCGGGCCUGCACCUGUGCUUUCUCUCCCUGACCCAGGGGCUGAGCCACACUAAGGGGACAUAUGGCAGAUGGAAACAGUGGAACUCACAGGACAGAGGAGGUCCGGGUGGUGGCGCUGGUGGAGCAGCCUUGAAAGUCUGAGAACUGCUCUGGGGGUCAAUCCCUCAUCCCAACGAGGAGGGCAGAGCCCACCCUGCCCGAGCAUUAGUGCUACCCCUGCUUGGAGUGAAUGAAGAACAGAUCAGAUGACCUGGAAAGCUGUAACCCAGGAAAUCUGCACUGCUGAACUUGGGCCCAAGAAUAUGCAAAGUGGGAGCAGCCAGGGCCCAAGAAGUGUCAGAUCAGACCCCUCACUCAGGGAAGGAGAGAUCCAUAGAAAGAAUAGGCCUGUACCCACAAGAAUUAGUACCCUCACUCUCCCCCCGCCCCAAUCCUCUAGUCUAGGAAGGCCUCGAGUCUCUUAUUCCCUUCCCACUGGCUUUCAUGGAAAUCAGCAGCUGGGGCCCUGAGCCUCUAGGAGGGCUAUUGAUAAAGUGGGGACUGAGCAAAGGGGGUAAGGGACACUAGUCUGGAGGGCCUGGGCUUGGAGAGGCUAGUUUGGGGCCAAUAUUCACCCCCGAGGCCUUGGAAAAUAAGAAUCCUCUCAGUUGGUUUCCAAUUUCCAUGAAGUGCCGCCCCCAUCCCCCACUCCCAGUCCCCACAAAGGCAAAGUAAGCUCCACAUGGUCACAAAAUACAGGCCCAAGGGCGGGUUUCAGAGAUUGGGGCACGGUGGGGCCAGCCGAAACCUGAAUUUAAACUGGGAUUACACAUUAGGGGUUUGGGAGCCUAGUUGUUAAUCAUGCUUAAUGUAGUUUUUAAAUCUACAUUUUCAUGUUGAAUUUUUAAAGUCAUCACAAAGUUCAUGAUGGAAAAUUGAUUUUGUAAAACUAGAUUUAUCAAAAGAUACAAUAAAGAUAUCUUAACCGGAAAUUUAAUAAAGAUUUAUUAAACACCUACUAUGCACUGAGCUGCUGCGAAUCCCAGGGAAAAGAGAAAAUUCCUGCCUCCUUGGGGUCCACAUUAAGCAAGCACAGCAGAGUAUCUUUUUCACAACCUAAUCAACACAUUUAUCUUAAACCAUUCGUCACUUUAAUGGAUGUAAGGUGGCUCCAAGUGGCAUUUUUGGAUGAGAGGAAUGCAUGAUCCCAUCCUUGGAAAUCUCCAUUUUCUUAUUUUAGUUGGGACAUUUUUAUAGCAGUUGGCCGAAGAACAAAGCUCCCCUGAAGAGAACUACCUUGAGUUCUAAAUCGAUAAGACAGUGCUGGAGUUCCGGGAGCUGAUGGCCAGGACAACUCUGCCAGAGGGCUUGGGGGCAGCCAGGCUACAGCCAGGAGCCCAUGGAGGCCUCCAGCUGAGAUCAGAGCCUUGGGAACUCUCCCUGGUGCUGAAAGCCCCAGGCUUCUCUUAUCCCAGGCCACCAGCUGAAGGCCCUCGAUGCAAUAAAAGUGGGAUCACUGACUCCAAGCAGCAUUUCCUUAUUGCUGACUGCGUGCAGAGCACGCCAGAUGCUGGGAGGGAGAGAAAGGGGGGAGGAGACGGGAAAAAGGAAAAGGUUCCCUGUGCUCAGGUUCUGGAGAAGAGACUCCAGUGGUUCAAUGGCUAACUGCUCUAUGGAAUGUCGUUGGCACAUAGGGGGCACUUAGCAAAUGACUGACCCUCCCUGGAGGAAGGGACCCUGGGAAAAAGGCUCCUUUGCCUUCUCUGUGAUCCAUAGGCCCUCAGUGACUUCUUUCCAGUCUGCCGUCCCUGUCCAGUCUGCUUGAAAGAAUGAGAGCGAGAAGCUCACUGCGGGCUGGGGCCCUGAGACUAACAAGCAGAGUGGCCAAAGGUUGGCAUUCCGGGUCUGGCUCCCACAUACAGACACAAGAUGUAAAAAACACAAAUGUCUUUCCUAGCUGGCUCAUGUCUAACCAGAAAUGGAGAGCCUCCUAUGCGCCAGAGUCACAUGGGGCAACAGACAGCCAGGAGGGCCAGGCUGGGCGGCCAUGUGCAGCUAACUUAAUUUCCUGAUGUUCCAGUCAAGCCUGUAACGACCUAAAAUCCACAGGAGUUGAAGACUAGCUGGGAGCUUCCUUCAUCUCAGAACAAUGGAGACUCUCUAUGGGGACAAAACUGCAUGUCUGGGUCACCGAAAUGUGAUCGGUUCUGGAGACCCAAGGAACUGCACUCUUGGGGGUGGGCUGGGACAUGUCACUUGUACAAAUACAUGAUGGCUGCUGAGCUGCAGCAGCAAAGGCGGGAGGGCAAAGGGCUUUACUCAGGGCAAAGGGCCCUAGGAGGAAGGGCCCCAUUUACAGAUGAAAAUACUGAAGAAGAGAUGCUGGUCUGGGGUCUGUGGAGGGAGAGCCUGCCUCCUGUGGAGCACCAAGCAGGGAGAGGAGUGAGCAGGCCGGCUUGUAAGACAAGAAAGCUGCCAGAGACUGUCCAGGGCUUUGCACUUUACCCUAGAAGCAACGGGGAACCACUGAAGGCUCUUCAGUCACUGUCCAGUCUGCAGCCACCUCAGUCUCACCCUGCCCUGACUAUCUCCACACAGCAAAGGGCCCCCUGCUGUGCCCCUGUUGGGGGUCAGAAUCCAAUCAGAUGCAUUUCCUACCUAAGAGAGACCCCAUCCUUCCACAGCCCCGGCUCACUCUGCAUCCCUGCAUAGAAUAACUCAGGUAAUUCUGCACCAAUGUGUGGCAAGCAAUAGGGAGAACCUACCAUCACCUGGGUCCCGAGGGACCAUCUCUGAGAGAGAGUGGGUGACCUGGGGAAACUGGGCGGAAACGGCUUUCUCAAGAUGUUCGGUAGCAAGGUGGAGGAAAGGGAAGGAGGCCGAGGAUAGACCUUCAAAUACAUUUGACAAGGGAGCAGAUUUGUAACUUGUAGGAUGGAAACUCCCUUCCCAGCUCUGCCCAGUCCCAGUAUGGCCUUUGUCCUUUGGAAGCCCUCAUCUUCUCUCUAGUCACUCACUUGCCUUUUGAAAUCUGGCUUCGGGUACCUCCGUUUUAUGGAAACUCCUCUCUGGAACACAGCCAUUUGUUCUUGCUGGACCUAAUGCCUCCCUUCCCCCAGGGUUCUCCCCUCUCAGCUGGGCCCUCAUAUCUUAAUUUACCAGGAAAUCUAGGUCAUCUCCCAUGGCCCUGACCAAUCCCUGUGCCCUCUUUAGUUCUCUUUGUUCUCCAAGCCCUGCCCCACCCCAGCUUACUCAUCAUCUCAUUGCUCCCCAUCCUGGCUCCAAUCCCUCCCUAUCUGCUGUUUCCUUCUCUCUUGCCUAGAAACAAGUCUGCUCCCCAUCGGGAGAUGACCCUCACCAAGGCCUUGAAAUCACCACCUGUCCCGGGUGUCUCCCCUUGCUUUCCCCGAUGCUUAAACCUCCUGCCAUCUUGCUUCUGACCUCCUCACGCAGUAGCAACACCUCUGUUCAAGGUUAUCUGUGAUAACAAUAACCAAACCCAAUGUCUUUUCCUCAGUCUCCAUCCUUGACCUCUCUGAUAGUGCGGAGACUCUGUUGUUCUUGUGGCUCUCCCUCCUCCCAUCUGUCUCCUUGGCUGGGCCUCCUCGAUGUCCCAUCCUAGAUGUGUCUAUCCUCGGCUCUCUCCCCCCUACCUGGUCCCUCAUAUGAUCACCUCAGUCUCUUUCGUGAGCCCCAGCCCUGCGUCAUUGACUUGGAUCUCAAACUCAUCAGGAUGUCUCUGUCACUCACAGUCAACAAUGCCUACUAAGUGUCAGCUAUGGAUACAAAGAAAGGCACAGACCCAGCUCUCAAGGAGCUCACAGUCUAAGGAGGAUAACAACCUGCAAACAGCUAUGUACAAACAAGGAAUGUACACGAUAAAUCGGAAGUCAGCAGCAGAGGCGUCCUGGGUCCACCAUUCUUUCAGUCGCCCAGUCCACAAUUUUGGUAUAUACUCCACUCUACUCCUUUUCUGCACACCCCAGCAACCCAAUCACUUGUCAAAUCAUCAUUGCUAUCUCUGAGAACAAGUUCUAGUCAAGAAAAUGUUACUAGAGUGUGCAAAUUACUUGGGACAAAAUAAGGCAAUUAAGUUUAUUGACAUAUAUAGUAUAAACCUUUACAAAGUUUUACAUCUUAAGUCAUCUUAAUAUGCAAUAUCUCAUGGCCAUAAUUGCUUGCUCUAAAUCAUUUCCAUAUCUCGUUGAUGAGAUUUUAAACAUUCUUUAAGUCUUCAUCAGAAAAUCAUGUUGUUUUUUUUUUAAAUCCCAUUGCAUUUUAAAUAUACUUUUUUUUUUUUUUUGGCUGAGGCAAUUGGGGUUAAAUGACUUGCCCAAGGAUCACACAGCUAGGAAGUGUUAAAAUGUCUGAGGCCAGAUUUGAACUCAGGUCUUCCUGACUUUAGGGCUGGUGCUCUAUCCACUGCACUUAAAUAUACUUUUGAAGAAUGUCUUAAUUCUAGCAAUCAGAUUUCCAGGCCACUAAAAUAUGCUUAUUAUCUUCAUCUCUUGGAUGACUUUGCGCUAUAAUACUAUGUUGCUUUUUCUGUUAGGAAUUUCUUCCAGAAUUCUGCUUUUCAGGAUAGCAACCUAUUCAUCAACAUUCCUCAUUCCUUUCAUCUGCAAAAGACUUCUGGGUCCAUGAAGAGUUAAAAAAAAAUCCCAAAGAUAUUUUCAGCUAUUUAGAUGUUCUGAAGAUACCCAGAGUCUCCGAGAGUUUUUAUGACAAAAGUUGGGUUUAACUUUGCAUGAAAACGUGAGCUGUGUUUCUUUUGUAAAAAUCACCUUUUUGGAACCCUCAGUUCUCUAGUCUUCGCAACGUCUCCCAAGCCGUAGUUGACAGUUUCGGUUUUCACAUUUUUGCUAGCUUUUUUGCUGUUGUUGCAGCAGCAAGAAGCCCUUCCGUGGAGGAAUCAGAGCUCCUUCAGCUAUCAGCUCACUCUGCUUGUUAUGAAUUCACGAGCUUCAUGUGAUCGAUCCUAUUCAUUGUGCACUUGAACGAGUGCGGAAAUGCUUCAAUUUCCCCAAACACCUUCUGCCACGUCAUGAAGAGCCACCAAAGUAUCUCGUUUAAAAGCUCCAAGUGUCGCACACUUUUUGGAGAUCAUAUCCAUUCUUCAAAACCACAACAUGAAACACAACAGGAGAGCAAUAAAUUUGUAUAGAAUAUGAAACUCAGCCUUCACGCAAGAACUCCCUAAGAGGAAAGAAGGCAGCUCAAUCCAGUUCCUCUGGACAAGAUCAUUAACCACGACACGGCCUCGAGUCAGACGCAGCACAGAAGUGCGAUCAUGAGUAAUUCGUAUACUACCGAAGCUUUGACAAGCAAUAGAGAUUCUAGAACCUCACCAGCCCCAGUGCUACAGAGAGCGUUAGAAGCCCUGAGAACUGAGCAAGAAGCCUCGGGAGGGUCAGAGCAUGUUCUCUGUAGUGCACUCAGAUGGAAUUUUGCGCCACACUUGGGAUGUGAAUACCAGGCUCACAAUCACCGGCUGGUACAGGGGGACGCAGGCUGGAGCUGGGGUCUCCACAGAAAAACAGAAAUAAUAAUGUACCUACCUCAUAAAGUCACUGUAAGGCUCAAAUGGGUCAAGUAUCCUAAAGCGCUUUGUAAACCUGACAACGCUACAGAAUUAGUGAUUUGGGGGAGUCUCCGAAGCGAGGGGGAAUGCAAGCCCUCACAGCCUGUGUAUUCGUUAGCUAAAAGGCGUUAAGAACAACUGGAGAGAAAGCCUGCUACCCACUAGCCACGCUACUCGCUCUGAAGAAACCCCGCAAUGACAAAGGUUCCCUGGGGAUCAUGCUUGGCAACCCCGACAAUGGAAUCUCGGUGCUUCAUUCCACUGUUAUUAAAAAGAGUGAGUGGCGAGCAGAGCAGCUGCACUGGAGAGGCCUGGGAAGGCAGCCUGACCCACCGUUCCGAGGUGGGAGUCCACAGCCAUUAAACACUGCUUAUCUUUUCUGACUUUUUCUAUGUAGCAAUCACUUGUUUUGGGUUCUUUUUUUUUUU